rnacentral:rRNA from 1 species
CCUACGGGAGGCUGCAGUGGGGAAUAUUGCACAAUGGGGGAAACCCUGAUGCAGCGACGCCGCGUGAGUGAAGAAGUAAUUCGUUAUGUAAAGCUCUAUCAGCCGGGAAGAAAAUGACGGUACCUGAGCAAGAAGCCCCGGCCAACUACGUGCCAGCAGCCGCGGUAAUACGUAGGGGGCAAGCGUUAUCCGGAUUUACUGGGCGUAAAGGGAGCGUAGACGGCAGUGCAAGUCUGGAGUGAAGGGCGGGGGGUCAACCCCCGGACUGCUCUGGAAACUGUACGGCUGGAGAGCAGGAGAGGUAAGUGGAAUUCCUAGUGUAGCGGUGAAAUGCGUAGAUAUUAGGAGGAACACCAGUGGCGAAGGCGGCUUACUGGACUGUAACUGACGUUGAGGCUCGAAAGCGUGGGGAGCAAACAGGAUUAGAUACCCCUGUAGUC